rnacentral:lncRNA from 1 species
CGGGAAACCAUACUAAGACGACACCUAAACGCAUUUACUUGUCUAUACUUUCCUAUCUCUCACCUCUACCUACUUAUUACAAGCAGGCACUCCAGACUGGUGAAAGAGGAGUCAGGCUUCAGUACGCUUAUGCUCUGCAGACAAUGGGGGAAGUCGGGGGAGCAGUCGCGGGCCCUGAGAGGUCUGGGACUGCUACUCUACUCCCUACGCCUACCCCUCCACACUACCAC